rnacentral:rRNA from 1 species
CGGGUAACGCUUAUCGGAUUACUGGGCGUAAGCGCACGCAGGCGGUCAUAUUAAAGUCAGAUGUGAAAUCCCCGAGCUUACUUGGGAAUUGCAUCUGAAACUGGUUGGCUAGAGUCUUGUAGAGGGGGGUAGAAUUCCAUGUGUAGCGGUGAAAUGCGUAGAGAUGUGGAGGAAUACCGGUGGCGAAGGCGGCCCCCUGGACAAAGACUGACGCUCAGGUGCGAAAGCGUGGGGAGCAAACAGGAUUAGAUACCCUGGUAGUCCACGCUGUAAACGAUGUCGAUUUAGAGGUUGUGGUCUUGAACCGUGGCUUCCGGAGCUAACGCGUUAAAUCGACCGCCUGGGGAGUACGGCCGCAAGGUUAAAACUCAAAUGAAUUGACGGGGGCCCGCACAAGCGGUGGAGCAUGUGGUUUAAUUCGAUGCAACGCGAAAAACCUUACCUACUCUUGACAUCCCCAGAAUCCUUUAGAGAUACAUUAUUGCCUUCGGGAACGCUGAUACAGGUGCUGCAUGGUGGUCGUCAACUCGUGGUGGGUAUUGUUGGGUUAAGUCCAAUAAAAAAGCGCAACCCCCUAUCCUUUGGGGGCCCCCCGUUAUU